UCCCUCUACAACGCAAAAGCGAAAUCUAGGUCACAAGCAUUGUUCCAAAUCAAUACGAUAACUGAAAAAAAAAAAUUAUCUGUGUAUUUGAUUUUUUUUUUCAACCAUAACACAUUAUGUGAUUUUUAUCAUGAGUUUUUCCAAUCACUUUUAAAUUCCUGUACAUUAGUAAAAAAUAAGUAACUAUUACCGAUUAAGAGUUAUUGUAUUAAAGAUCUCCUUCUUCAAUCUCAUAUUUUGUAUUUGGAUUAGUUUGAAGGCAAUCACCCACUCAAGGCCUCGAGCAGUUGUCAUGCACGGCUAAAAGGACAUACACAUACAGGUUCAAGUGAAGAACAUGUGCACCGGAAGCUUUUUAUGCUAUUAUGAGAAUUUAACAAGUCCUGUAACCCUUCUGCUCUUUAGAAAAAA